rnacentral:rRNA from 1 species
AUUGAACGCUGGCGGCAGGCCUAACACAUGCAAGUCGAACGAGUGGCGGACGGGUGAGUAAUGUCUGGGAACCUGCCUGAUGGAGGGGGAUAACUACUGGAACCGGUAGCUAAUACCGCAUACCAUCGGUUCUGCCCAGGUGGGAUGAGCUUGCUGGUGGGGUAACGGCUCACCAAGGCGACGAUCCCUACCUGGUCUGAGAGGAUGACCAGCCACACUGGAACUGAGACACGGUCCAGACUCCUACGGGAGGCAGCAGUGGGGAAUAUUGCGCAAUGGGCGAAAGCCUGAUGCAGCAAUGCCGCGUGUAUGAAGAAGGCCUUCGGAUUGUAAAGUACUUUCAGCGGGGAGGCGUUACCCGCAGAAGAAGCACCGGCUAACUACGUGCCAGCAGCCGCGGUAAUUC